rnacentral:rRNA from 1 species
AUGAUUCAUGGCCGGUCGGGGAUGGUCACCUGCGGUGAGCACGAGUACCUCCUCCAUAUCCUCCCUAUACUAGCACCCUUGGUGAUGAAAAUGAUAGCCAGGAGAAUCCAUCCUUCACACCUCUUUUCCAUCUCUGUCAGAUUGUCCUCUUCAGCAAGAUCCCAAAGGCCAACCUUAAUACUAGACCUCGAUAGGGGCAUGUGGCCAACCAUGCCGGAGGAUGCAGAGGAGUUGUUUGGGAAUGUUAUCAUCAGAGGACCCAAGAAGCAGCCCACCAAGGAUGCAUGGAUCAACCACGCAAGUCCAUUGAGACUUGCAAUCCAUCUGUGGCGAGGGUUCAUGACAGACAAGCCAAUAGAUUUGGGGGUCCACUUCCCGGUGAAACAAAUGUUCAUUGCGGACAAUACGAAGACGAUGAUUGGUACAAUCAGGUGA